rnacentral:rRNA from 1 species
GACAGAGGAUGCAAGCGUUAUCCGGAAUUACUGGGCGUAAAGCGUGCGCAGGCGGUUUUGUAAGCCAGAUGUGAAAUCCCCGGGCUUAACCUGGGAAUGGCAUUUGGGACUGCAAGGCUUGAGUGCGGCAGAGGAGACUGGAAUUCCUGGUGUAGCAGUGAAAUGCGUAGAUAUCAGGAGGAACACCGAUGGCGAAGGCAGGUCUCUGGGCUGACACUGACGCUCAUGCACGAAAGCGUGGGGAGCAAACAGG